AACGAACGCUGGCGGCAGGCCUAACACAUGCAAGUCGAGCGAACCCUUCGGGGUUAGCGGCGGACGGGUUAGUAACGCGUGGGAAUAUACCCUUUGGUACGGAAUAGCCUCGGGAAACUGAGAGUAAUACCGUAUGUGCCCUUCGGGGGAAAGAUUUAUCGCCAAAGGAUUAGCCCGCGUUGGAUUAGAUAGUUGGUGGGGUAAUGGCCUACCAAGUCUACGAUCCAUAGCUGGUUUGAGAGGAUGAUCAGCAACACUGGGACUGAGACACGGCCCAGACUCCUACGGGAGGCAGCAGUGGGGAAUCUUAGACAAUGGGCGCAAGCCUGAUCUAGCCAUGCCGCGCGGACGAUGAAGGCCUUAGGGUUGUAAAGUCCUUUCAGAUGGGAAGAUAAUGACGGUACCAUCAGAAGAAGCCCCGGCUAACUCCGUG
rnacentral:rRNA from 1 species